GUAAUAAUCCUGUAGUCGAAAAUGUUGUCUCUCUUGAGUGGAUCCUGAGUACGACGGAGCACGUGAAAUUCCGUCGGAAUCUGGGAGGACCAUCUCCUAAGGCUAAAUACUCUCUAGUGACCGAUAGUGAACCAGUACCGUGAGGGAAAGGUGAAAAGCACCCCGGAAGGAGAGUGAAAUAGAACCUGAAACCGUGUGCUUACAAGUAGUCAGAGCCCGUUAAUGGGUGAUGGCGUGCCUUUUGUAGAAUGAACCGGCGAGUUACGAUUUGAUGCAAGGUUAAGCAGUAAAUGUGGAGCCGUAGCGAAAGCGAGUCUGAAUAGGGCGUUUAGUAUUUGGUC
rnacentral:rRNA from 1 species